UUAUUUAUUUUCGUUUUUUGUUUUUGUUUUUCGUUUUUUUUAAACACGUGGGCUUCGCCUAGCGAGCAUGACAGUUCAAGAAAUUCCUUUAAGCGUAGGUGAUUCUGGUGGCUUUUCUUGGGACUCGCUAAGCGACCCAUUCUGCUCGCCUAGCGAGCAUGACAGCUCAUGAACAAACUUUUGCUCCUUCAAGAUUAACGUUUUGACUGACGAAUAGAACCCCCAUUUGAACCUAUUUGAAG
rnacentral:lncRNA from 1 species